rnacentral:rRNA from 1 species
GUGUCAGCAGCCGCGGUAAUACGUAGGGGGCUAGCGUUGUCCGGAAUCAUUGGGCGUAAAGCGCGUGUAGGCGGCUCGAUAAGUCCGCUGUGAAAGUCGGGGGCUCAACCCUCGAAAGCCGGUGGAUACUGUCGAGCUCGAGUACGGAAGAGGCGAGUGGAAUUCCUGGUGUAGCGGUGAAAUGCGCAGAUAUCAGGAGGAACACCCAUAGCGAAGGCAGCUCGCUGGGACGUUACUGACGCUGAGACGCGAAAGCGUGGGGAGCAAACAGGAUUAGAUACCCUGGUAGUCC